rnacentral:rRNA from 1 species
GCCCAGCCGUAAACAAUUAACUCACACCCAUAAGCGCCAGGGAACUACGAGCCAUGCUUAAAACCCAAAGGAUUUGACGGUGUCCCACCCCCCUAGAGGAGCCUGUUCUAUAAUCGAUGAUCCCCGAUACACCCGACCACCCCUUGCCCAUCAGUCUGUAUACCUCCGUCGAAAGCUUACCAUGUGAACGUCUACAGUAGGUUCAAGGACCCGCAUUAGCGCGUCAAUACGUCAGGUCAAGGUGCAACUUAAGGAGUGGGAAGUAAUUUGCUACAAUUUCUAACCUAGAACAAACGAAAGACUGUGUGAAACCACAGUCACGAAGGCGGAUUUAGUAGUAAAAAGAAAAUAGAGAGUUCUUUUUAACCCGGCUCUGGGACGCGUACACACCGCC